UCUAAAUGGACUUUGGCCCCAGGUC
rnacentral:piRNA from 1 species